UUUGAUCCUGGCUCAGAUUGAACGCUGGCGGCAGGCCUAACACAUGCAAGUCGAACGGUAGCAGGAAGUGCUUGCACUUCGCUGACGAGUGGCGGACGGGUGAGUAAUGCUUGGGAACUUGCCUUUGCGAGGGGGAUAACAGUUGGAAACGACUGCUAAUACCGCAUAAUGUCUUCGGACCAAACGGGGCUUCGGCUCCGGCGCAAAGAGAGGCCCAAGUGAGAUUAGCUAGUUGGUGAGGUAAAGGCUCACCAAGGCAACGAUCUCUAGCUGUUCUGAGAGGAAGAUCAGCCACACUGGGACUGAGACACGGCCCAGACUCCUACGGGAGGCAGCAGUGGGGAAUAUUGCACAAUGGGCGAAAGCCUGAUGCAGCCAUGCCGCGUGUGUGAAGAAGGCCUUCGGGUUGUAAAGCACUUUCAGUUGUGAGGAAAAGUUAGUAGUUAAUACC
rnacentral:rRNA from 1 species